AGAAUUUUUUGGAAAUUUUCUCCAAAUUAAAUACAGAAUUAUUUAAUUUACAUAAGUAUUCACAACCUUUGAGUCAAUACCUGUUAGAAACAUCGGUGGCCUCGAUUACAGCUGUGAGUCUUUCUGGGUAAGUUUCUAAGAGCUUUGCACACCUGGAUCAUAAAAAUAUUCAAGCUAUGUUAAGUUGGUUGUUGAUCAUAAUAUAUAAUAAUAAUAUAUAUAAUAAUAAUAUAUGCCAUUUAGCAGACGCUUUUAUCCAAAGCGACUUACAGUCAUGUGUGCAUACAUUCUACGUAUAGGUGGUCCCGGGGAUUGAACCCACUACCCUGGCGUUACAAGCGCCAUGCUCUACCAACUGAGCUAGACAGCCAUUUUCAAGUCUAGCCAUAGAUUUUCAUGCCAAUUUAAGUCCAAACUGUAACUUGGCCACUCAGGAACAUUCACUGUCGUCUUGGUAAUCCACUCCAGUGUAGAUUUGGUCUUGUGUUUAUGUGGUUAUUGUCCUGCUGGAAGGUGCAUUUGCCUCCCAGUGUCUCUUGGAAAACAGACUGGACCAGGUUUUCCUGUAGGAUUUUUCCUGUGCUCUUGGAAAACAGACUGGACCAGGUUUUCCUGUAGGAUUUUUCCUGUGCUCUUGGAAAACAGACUGGACCAGGUUUUCCUGUAGGAUUUUUCCUGUGCUCUUGGAAAACAGACUGGACCAGGUUUUCCUGUAGGAUUUUUCCUGUGCUCUUGGAAAACAGACUGGACCAGGUUUUCCUGUAGGAUUUUUCCUGUGCUCUUGGAAAACAGACUGGACCAGGUUUUCCUGUAGGAUUUUUCCUGUGCUCUUGGAAAACAGACUGGACCAGGUUUUCCUGUAGGAUUUUUCCUGUGCUCUUGGAAAACAGACUGGACCAGGUUUUCCUGUAGGAUUUUUCCUGUGCUCUUGGAAAACAGACUGGACCAGGUUUUCCUGUAGGAUUUUUCCUGUGCUCUUGGAAAACAGACUGGACCAGGUUUUCCUCUAGGAUUUUUCCUGUGCUCUUGGAAAACAGACUGGACCAGGUUUUCCUCUAGGAUUUUUCCUGUGCUCUUGGAAAACAGACUGGACCAGGUUUUCCUCUAGGAUUUUUCCUGUGCUCUUGGAAAACAGACUGGACCAGGUUUUCCUGUAGGAUUUUUCCUGUGCUCUUGGAAAACAGACUGGACCAGGUUUUCCUGUAGGAUUUUUCCUGUGCUCUUGGAAAACAGACUGGACCAGGUUUUCCUGUAGGAUUUUUCCUGUGCUCUUGGAAAACAGACUGGACCAGGUUUUCCUGUAGGAUUUUUCCUGUGCUCUUGGAAAACAGACUGGACCAGGUUUUCCUGUAGGAUUUUUCCUGUGCUCUUGGAAAACAGACUGGACCAGGUUUUCCUCUAGGAUUUUUCCUGUGCUCUUGGAAAACAGACUGGACCAGGUUUUCCUGUAGGAUUUUUCCUGUGCUCUUGGAAAACAGACUGGACCAGGUUUUCCUGUAGGAUUUUUCCUGUGCUCUUGGAAAACAGACUGGACCAGGUUUUCCUGUAGGAUUUUUCCUGUGCUCUUGGAAAACAGACUGGACCAGGUUUUCCUGUAGGAUUUUUCCUGUGCUCUUGGAAAACAGACUGGACCAGGUUUUCCUGUAGGAUUUUUCCUGUGCUCUUGGAAAACAGACUGGACCAGGUUUUCCUGUAGGAUUUUUCCUGUGCUUAGCUCUAUUCCGUUUCUAUUUAUUUAAGAAAAAGCCAUGCUUGUAAAUACGGAGAGUGGUACUAAGUUUCGUUUUGGAUUUGUUCGGGAUAUUUAACAUCUGCUUUAAACAAAAAAAACAAACAUCUACCAAUAGGUGCCCUUCGCUAGGCGUUGGAAAGCCUCCCUGGUCUCUGUGGUUGAAAUUCACUGCUCGACUGUGGGACCUUACAGAUAAUUAAUUAUAUGUGUGGUGUACAGAGAUGAGGUGGUCAUUCAAACAUCAAGUUACACACUAUUAUUGCACAUGGAGUGAGUUCAUGCAACUUAUGUGUCUUGUUAAGCACAUUUUUUUUACUCCUGAACUUAUUUAGGUUUGAUAUAACAAACGUGUUCAAUAAUUGAUUUGUAUUGUGAAAAAAAAAAUGUUGAAAAACAUAAUUCCACUUGGACAUUAUGGGGGCAUUGUGUGUAGAGGUCAGUGACACACAUCUACAUGUAAUCCAUUUGAAAUUCCGGCUGUAACACAACACUAUUAGGGGAAAAGUCAAAAAAGAGUUGAAUUAAAGUCCAAUACUUUCUGAAAGUACUUCAUUUUAAUUUAUUUUGUUGUAUGAGGAGGGUUUUGGACAACCUGCUUUCUUGAAAGGAACGAUAGUGAAGUGCUUCAUUAUCGGUCACACUUGGUGUGUGUGUGUGUGUGUGUGUGUGUGUGUG